CCCUAGCCCCGAUAGUAGUGGAAAUCCUUUUGUGCCGGGGUUCGGCACAAAAGAUUGCAGCGGAUAGCGGGAAACAGC
rnacentral:sRNA from 1 species